rnacentral:rRNA from 1 species
UACGAAGGGGGCUAGCGUUGUUCGGAAUCACUGGGCGUAAAGGGUGCGCAGGCGGUCAGUUAAGUCAGGGGUGAAAUCCCGAGGCUCAACCUCGGAACUGCCUUUGAUACUGGGUGUCUUGAGUCCGGAAGAGGUGAGUGGAACUGCGGGUGUAGAGGUGAAAUUCGUAGAUAUUCGCAAGAACACCGGUGGCGAAGGCGGCUCACUGGUCCGGAACUGACGCUGAGGCACGAAAGCGUGGGGAGCAAACAGG